rnacentral:rRNA from 1 species
ACGGGAGGCAGCAGUGGGGAAUAUUGCACAAUGGGGGAAACCCUGAUGCAGCGACGCCGCGUGGAGGAAGAAGGCCUUCGGGUUGUAAACUCCUGUCGUAAGGGACGAUAGUGACGGUACCUUACAAGAAAGCCACGGCUAACUACGUGCCAGCAGCCGCGGUAAAACGUAGGUGGCAAGCGUUGUCCGGAAUUACUGGGUGUAAAGGGAGCGCAGGCGGGUCUGCAAGUUGGAAGUGAAACCCAUGGGCUCAACCCAUGAACUGCUUUCAAAACUGCGGAUCUUGAGUGGUGUAGAGGUAGGCGGAAUUCCCCGUGUAGCGGUGGAAUGCGUAGAUAUCGGGAGGAACACCAGUGGCGAAGGCGGCCUACUGGGCACCAACUGACGCUGAGGCUCGAAAGUGUGGGUAGCAAACAGGAUUAGAUACCCUGGUA